GAACAAUUAAGCUCACUCAGCUGCCAUUUCAUACAUUUCUGAGUUAAUUGAAUUUUAAUUUACUCCUCCAUCCCAUUAACAACACAUUCUCCAUGCGCCCUUCUAGCAACACCUGUCAAUUGGAUUUUACUUCUUCCUCUAUCUCUUUAGAGAGAUAAAUCAUGUUAGGAUAAAUCACCUGUAUAUAAAUAGAAGCAUGUAC
rnacentral:misc_RNA from 1 species